CUGAAGAAGUGAUGAUAAAUCAGUUUAAAUCUUAGGACACCUUCUGACACAUUAAUGUGUAUGAGAAUGACUUCUAAUAUUCUGAUCUUCAG
rfam:Brassica napus, WGS project CCCW01000000 data, contig: 4279